UACGUAGGUGGCAAGCGUUGUCCGGAUUUACUGGGCGUAAAGGGCGUGCAGGCGGUUUGUUAAGUGCAGGGUGAAAGCUCCCGGCUCAACUGGGAGAGGUCCUUGCAUACUGGCAGACUUGAGGGAGGCAGAGGAAAGUGGAAUUCCCGGUGUAGUGGUGAAAUGCGUAGAGAUGCGGAGGAACACCGAUGGCGAAGGCAGCCCCCUGGGUUGACACUGACGCUCAGGCACGAAAGCGUGGGGAGCAAACAGG
rnacentral:rRNA from 1 species